rnacentral:lncRNA from 1 species
UGAGUUCAAUCCUGUUAAGGAAAAGAAAUCUACAGGGUGAGCAAAAUGCUCGUGAGGCCAAGAACACACAUGCAAUCACGUCGAUCAGAUAAUAGUCCCAAAUAACAGUUUAAGAGAUAAUUACAAGUAAUUAAUAAAGCCAGUGAAAUUAAACAGAAACAAUUCAAGGAUACAGUAGCUCUCAGGAGCUAAGUUCCACUUGCUGUGUCGAUGACAUUCGUAUACCUCCCCACGGUGACACUGUGGCGACCCCACUUCCCCCUAAGGCGAACCAAAGGGUUGGCGGGCCGUCUGCCCAACUCUCGCCAGGACUCACGCAAGCAUUCUAACCCAAAU